rnacentral:snRNA from 1 species
AGCACUUCUUGGCCUUUUGGCUAAGAUCAAGUGUAGCAUCUGUUCUUAUCAGUUUAAUAUCUGAUACGUCCUCUAUCCGUGGACUUGGCCCAAUGGAUAGGGCAUCCGUCUACCACAU